AAGCUGGGCCCUCCCUCAGGGAGGGCAUCCUGAAGACUGCGAAGGUGCUGGUGGAGGACACCAAGGUCCUGGUGCAAAACGCAGCUGGGAGCCAGGAGAAGUUGGCGCAGGCUGCCCAGUCCUCCGUGGCGACCAUCACCCGCCUCGCUGAUGUGGUCAAGCUGGGUGCAGCCAGCCUGGGAGCUGAGGACCCUGAGACCCAGGUGGUACUAAUCAACGCAGUGAAAGAUGUAGCCAAAGCCCUGGGAGACCUCAUCAGUGCAACGAAGGCUGCAGCUGGCAAAGUUGGAGAUGACCCUGCUGUGUGGCAGCUAAAGAACUCUGCCAAGGUGAUGGUGACCAAUGUGACAUCAUUGCUUAAGACAGUAAAAGCCGUGGAAGAUGAGGCCACCAAAGGCACUCGGGCCCUGGAGGCAACCACAGAACACAUACGGCAGGAGCUGGCG
rnacentral:sRNA from 1 species